UACGUAGGAGGCAAGCGUUGUCCGGAAUUACUGGGUGUAAAGCGCGUGUAGGCGGCCGGCCAAGUCUGUGGUGAAAUCGCUCGGCUCAACUGGGCGGGGUCCAUGGAAACUGGUCAGCUGGAGGACGGUAGAGGUGAGUGGAAUUCCCGGUGUAGUGGUGAAAUGCGUAGAUAUUGGGAAGAACACCUGAGGCGAAGGCGGGUUGCUGGGCCGACACUGACGCUGAUGCGCGAAAGCCAGGGGAGCGAACGGG
rnacentral:rRNA from 1 species